CCAAUAGCGUAUAUUAAAGUUGUUGCAGUUAAAAAGCUCGUAGUUGAAUUUCGGGGUCAGUAGGUUGGUCGUGCCACCGGUACGUACUGGUCUCACUGAUUCCUCCUUCCUGAUGAGCUGUAAUGCCAUUAAUUUGGUGUUGCAGGGAAUCUGGACUGUUACUUUGAAAAAAUUAGAGUGUUUAAAGCAGGCUAACGCUUGAAUACAUUAGCAUGGAAUAAUGAAAUAGGACGUUCGAUCCUAUUUUGUUGGUUUCUAGGAUUGACGUAAUGAUUAAUAGGGAUAGUUGGGGGCAUUAGUAUUCAAUUGUCAGAGGUGAAAUUCUUGGAUUUAUUGAAGACUAACUACUGCGAAAGCAUUUGCCAAGGAUGUUUUCAUUAAUCAAGAACGAAAGUUAGGUGAUCGAAGACGAUCAGAUACCGUCGUAGUCUUAACCAUAAACUAUGCCGACUAGGGAUCGGAUGAUGUUAAUUUUUUAAUGACUCAUUCGGCGCCUUACG
rnacentral:rRNA from 1 species